UGGGGAAUAUUGCACAAUUGGGGAAACCCUGAUGCAGCGACGCCGCUUGAACGAAGAAGGUCUUCGUAUCUUAAAGUUCUGUCCUAUGGGAAGAUAAUGACAGUACCAUAGAAGAAAGCUCCGGCUAAAUACGUGCCAGCAGCCGCGGUAAUACGUAUGGAGCGAGCGUUGUCCGGAAUUAUUGGGCGUAAAGGGUACGCAGGCGGUUUAAUAAGUCGAAUGUUAAAGAUCGGGGCUCAACCCCGUAAAGCAUUGGAAACUGAUAAACUAGAGGAGUGGAGAGGAAAGGGGAAUUCCUAGUGUAGUGGGGAAAUACGUAGAUAUUAGGAGGAAUACCAGGAGCGAAGGCGACUUUCUGGACACAAACUGACGCUGAGGUACGAAAGCGUGGGGAGCAAAAAGG
rnacentral:rRNA from 1 species